AGCGAACGCUGGCGGCAUGCCUAACACAUGCAAGUCGCACGGGGGGGGCUUCGGCCUCCCAGUGGCGGACGGGUGAGGAACGCGUAGGGACCUGUCGAGGGGUGGGGGAUAACCGCGGGAAACUGCGGCUAAUACCGCAUGACGCCGCGGCGUGACAGCCGGGGCCAAAGGCGAAAGCCGCCCGCCGAGGGGCCUGCGUCCGAUUAGCUGGUUGGCGGGGUAGCGGCCCACCAAGGCGUCGAUCGGUAGCUGGUCUGAGAGGGUGAUCAGCCACACCGGGACUGAGACACGGCCCGGACUCCUACGGGAGGCAGCAGUGGGGAAUUUUGGACAAUGGGCGCAAGCCUGAUCCAGCAAUGCCGCGUGGGUGAAGAAGGUCUUCGGAUUGUAAAGCCCUUUCGGCGGGGACGAUGGUGACGGUACCCGCAGAAGAAGCCCCGGCUAACUUCGUG
rnacentral:rRNA from 1 species